rnacentral:rRNA from 1 species
GAUGAACGCUGGCGGCAUGCCUAAUACAUGCAAGUCGAACGAGAGGAGGGAAAGCUUGCUUUUCUGAAUCUAGUGGCGAACGGGUGAGUAACACGUAGGUAACCUGCCCAUGUGCCCGGGAUAACUUCUGGAAACGGAUGCUAAAACCGGAUAGGUAGCAGACAAGCAUUUGACUGCUAUUAAAGUGGCUAAGGCCAUGAACAUGGAUGGACCUGCGGUGCAUUAGCUAGUUGGUGAGGUAACGGCCCACCAAGGCGACGAUGCAUAGCCGGCCUGAGAGGGCGGACGGCCACAUUGGGACUGAGACACGGCCCAAACUCCUACGGGAGGCAGCAGUAGGGAAUUUUCGUCAAUGGGGGGAACCCUGAACGAGCAAUGCCGCGUGAGUGAAGAAGGUCUUCGGAUCGUAAAGCUCUGUUGUAAGAGAAAAACGACAUUCAUAGGGAAUGAUGAGUGAGUGAUGGUAUCUUACCAGAAAGUNA